ensembl:lncRNA OLMALINC oligodendrocyte maturation-associated long intergenic non-coding RNA
UUUUUUCCUUUUUUUUUUUUUCCCGGGGAGUCGGCCUCGGGGCUCUGCUCUCCUACCUCAGUCUGCCCUACCCUGGAAUGGGGAAAAUGCGGACAUGCCACUCAGUCCGGCCGCGAACAGUGCUCCAGAACUCAGAGAGUUUUCCAGACGGGUGGAGAUCGCGUUCCCUGCCCGCCGAGGUCCCAUCGCUUCCCUGCUGGGAAGACAAAUGAGGCGCUUUAGCCGUCUCCACGGCCAGCCCCUCCCUCAUAACCCGAGAUUCUUUGUGGGCUCUUAGUCCAUAGCUGCCUUUGAGGUGGUGUAGACCUUGCUAACCAGGACGGCCCAGUAGGCAGAGCUCAUUUUUAUUCCUGUCUGCAAUCGUGCAAAAACGCCUCUUAUGGAAAAGCCAGAGCGCCAGGAGUCAGCAAAACACACUAAAGAUUGGGCAGUCACUGGGGAGAACAUGGCCUGAAGCAACUGAAGAUCCACAAAAGAAGUGAAAAUAGCCUUAACUGAUGACAUUCCACCAUUGAGAUUUGUUCCUGCCCCACCCUAACUGAUACGAUAUAUUCUCCCCCGCCCUUAAGAAGACUCAGCCCGCCUGCACCCAGGUGAAAUAUACAGCCUUGUUGCUCACACAAAGCCUGUUUGGUGGUUUCUUCACACGGAUGCAUGUGACAUUUGGUGCUGAAGACCCAGGACAGGAGGACUCCUUUGGGAGACCAGUGCCCUGUUGUCGCCCUCACUCCGUGAGGAGAUCCACCUAUGAUCUCAGGUCCUCAGACCAACCAGCCCAAGGAACAUCUUGCCAAUUUCAAAUCGGGCCCCCAGUUUGUCCCAUCUGCACCGCCAAGAGGUCUCCGGGUGGCCAGAGGAGCAAAGUUGCCUUCCAAGUGCCUGUUGGUGCCUGGGAGAACACAGCAGGAGUGUCGUGCGGCCCACAGCGCAGUGCAUGGUGAUUCCAGGCGCUGAACAACUCCCCUUGACCCUUGGGCCUGCAUCUGACUCCCGGCUGCAGAAUCAGAAGCUGAGUCCAGGCAACCGCUCGGCCACUCCCGGUCACUCCUCUCUGGACACCCAGUUACUAAAGUCAGCAAAGAAGAUGCGGUAAUCACCGCCUGAUCUCCACAUGGUGAACACAACACUCUCACUAACACCUCCUUGACCAGUCAGUCUUCAGCACUGGGGGUGGACAGGCAGGUUUUCUGUGUUUACCAGAAUCGCACAGGCUAAGCACAAACAUGGAACCAGAGUUCCAGGUGAGGAAACCUCACUCGCAGAAGCCCAGGCUGCACCCCACCAGGUGAUGCAGUGCGCCUAGGCUGUGGGUGCUAGGAGCCAAGUGCUAGGGACUCGUCAUGAGUGGGAAUCCCCACGUUCCUGUCACUGCUGUCAAACAGAAGGUAAACAGUCUUACGAAUGUAAUUCCUUAGGAAGACUUGUACAAACUUUUAUUAGGAUAUCUAUUUAUUUAAUACUGAACUUUGGCCUACUUUGUGAUAAGACUAUAAACAAAUUGAGGAAAUCACUAUUUCUCACUUCUGUAUUUCUCAAAAAAUAAUUUUGUUACAGAGUUCAAUAUACUGUGUACUACUGAUCUUCUAUUGUGAAAGCAAAGCAUUUCAUCAAAACAAAGUAUUUUAAAU